UGGAAUGUGAGAAGAGAACAUGUGAUUCAUAGGCUUUACAAGGACUUCACACGGGCAGAAACAUGGAUAGAUUCCAGUAAUUAUAUUUUUCAGAAGGUUCUUAAAGGUAGAGGAUGAAUCUAGUCGAGUUGGUCCUCGCCAAAUCAAUCUAUAGGUUUUGUUUCCAUAGAUGUCACAAGCUAAUUUGGAAAUGAAAAAUUUGAUAAGGGUAUUGGUAAUUUGAUGCAUUGCAAGAGGUCUAGCUGAUA
rnacentral:lncRNA from 1 species